rnacentral:tRNA from 1 species
UCUCACGUAGUCUAGUGGUUAGGAUUCAUGGUUUUCACCCACGCGGCCCGGGUUCGAUUUCCGGCAUGGAAA